UUUAUAUGGAGCCAUGUUGCCAUACUUCGGCCCUCGCGUCUGCGCGUUGAUUUCAAGCUUCUCUCUGCGGGAGAUCCCAUCGCAUCAGUUUGGAAAGGGUCACCAGCUGAAGGAAAAUGGGGCUUUCUUUUGCGAAGCUUUUUAGCCGGCUUUUUGCCAAGAAGGAGAUGCGCAUCCUUAUGGUAGGUCUUGAUGCUGCUGGUAAGACGACCAUUUUGUACAAGCUCAAGCUUGGUGAGAUUGUAACCACCAUUCCUACCAUUGGGUUCAACGUGGAGACAGUUGAAUACAAGAACAUCAGCUUCACUGUUUGGGAUGUUGGGGGUCAGGACAAGAUACGUCCCUUGUGGAGGCAUUACUUCCAAAACACACAAGGUUUGAUAUUUGUGGUGGAUAGCAAUGACAGAGACCGUGUUGUUGAAGCAAGGGAUGAACUUCACAGGAUGUUGAACGAGGAUGAGCUACGUGAUGCGGUGCUGUUGGUAUUUGCAAACAAGCAAGAUCUUCCAAACGCAAUGAACGCUGCAGAGAUAACUGAUAAGCUCGGCCUUCACUCUCUGCGGCAGCGACACUGGUACAUACAGAGCACAUGUGCUACCACUGGUGAGGGACUGUACGAGGGUCUGGACUGGCUCUCCAACAACAUUGCUAACAAAGCCUGAGGAUAUAUACAUAUAUGAUGAUCGACCAGAGAUUUUGAGGGGUCCGAGAAAUUUAUUGACGCAGCAGGUGGACUUGGGGAAGGAUAAUUUGCUUAAAAGACCCUUGCUUUGGGGGAAAGAGAAUGCGGUGUUAAUUCUUUAAUUGGGUAAUAGGAAGAGGAAACAACUUCAAUGUAUAUCUUCUAUGAAUAGGUACACAGAGACGGGAUCCCGUCCUCCAUCUCCUCUUCUUCUCUCCAUAUAUCUAAAUCCUAAAAAACAAAAACAGAGUAUCCACCGGUGGCAAUGUAGUGAUUCUUCUACCUCGUUGAUUUUUUCGUCCUACUGUUCUCGACCCAAAAUUAAAAUCCCUCCUUUUAUUGAACCAAGUGUAAGGUGAUCUACUUUAGAGCAUUUAUAUGUAUAUUUAUAUGAUGUUAUUACAAA